GGCAGGAUAGCUCAGUUGGUAGAGCAGGGGACUGAAAAUCCCCGUGUCCCCGGUUCGAUUCCGGGUCCGGCCACCA
rnacentral:tRNA from 1 species